GUGCCAGCCGCCGCGGUAAGACGUAGGAUGCGAGCGUUGUUCGGAAUUAUUGGGCGUAAAGCGUGCGUAGGCGGCUAUUUAAGUCUGGUGUUAAAGCUAGGGGCUCAACCCCUGUGUUGCACUGGAAACUGGGUAGCUUGAGUGCGGUAGGGGAAGGUGGAAUUCCGAGUGUAGCGGUGAAAUGCGUAGAUAUUCGGAAGAACACCGGUGGCGAAGGCGACCUUCUGGGCCGCCACUGACGCUGAGGCACGAAAGCGUGGGGAGCAAACGGGAUUAGAUACCCCGGUAGUCCACGCUGUAAACGAUGAUCACUAGGUGUUGCGGGUAUCGACCCCCGCAGUGCCGUAGCUAACGCGUUAAGUGAUCCGCCUGGGGAGUACGGUCGCAAGACUGAA
rnacentral:rRNA from 1 species